AUGUCCCCUCCCUCCUUCCCUUCCCCGUGUACCCCCAGUGUCCCCUCUCCCCCAUGUUCCCCCGGUGUCCCCUCCCCACCCACAAACACAAACUCACGGCGUUUUCCAUUCCCGCUUCCUCGUUGUUUUUUAAUGGAACUUUGUACAAAGAGCCCCCACGGGGUGGGGGGGGCGGUGGCGGCAUGCGGGGGAGGGGCAGGGGGCAAUGGGGAGGGGGCGCGAGGCGGCUCUGCCCCCUCCUACCCCUCCCCACGGGGACAGCCGGACACAUGGACACGCCUGGGGAGGGCGGACAGCGAGGGGAGCUCCCCCCGUGGGGGGGGCACUGAGGGUCCCCCAGCCCCGUGGGGGGGUCACGAGGCCAGGCCCCGCGUCUGUAAACUCUCCACGUCCUUGUUCUGCUUCAGCUCCUCCAUCCUGGGCCAGGGACAUGCAAAUUUGGGGUGGGAUCAGGCUUUUUUGGGACUCUGCCCCCAAAGCCCUGGGAACACCUUCCCCUGUCCCCACCCACCCCGUGUGACAGCUCCCACUGUCCCCUCCCUCUCCCUGUGCCCGUACCGGUGGCGGCAGCGCCGCAGGAACCUCAUGAUCUUCCGCGCUGCCUGGUCCUGCUUGAGGGUGAGGAAGGUGCUCCUGGGGGGGACGGAGGGGGCAGGUGAGACCCCCGUGCCCCCUGCCCCCCAAGCCCCCCACGCCCCCCAGGCCGCACCGGUGCUGGCGGAGGCUGCGGAAGCGCUGCUGGAUCAGCACGGCCGCCCGCCGGCGGCGCUGGAAGCGCUUCUGCUCCGCGUAGCUGCGGAACUUGCUCUGGAUCAGGAUGGCGGCCUGCGUCAUCCGCUGGAACAGCGCGAACUGGGGGGGACACAGGGACACAACAGCGUCACAGCACCCUCAAACAGGGACCCCAAUGUCACCCCAGUAACCCAGCACCCUUGCGUCAUCCACUGGAACAGCGCGAACUGCAAGGGACACCGGUGUCACCAGGGUCACCACAGUGUCACAGCACCCUCACACAGCACUCCUGCGUCAAAAACACCUGGGUGA
rnacentral:lncRNA from 1 species